GGUCGAUGAAGAACGCAGCUAAUUGCGCGUCAUCAUGCGAACUGCAGGACACAUGAACAUCGACAAUUCGAACGCACAUUGCGGUCCUCGGACACUGUCCUCGGACCACUCCUGACUGAGGGUCGGUUUCAUUCUAAAGACUGCCUCAUUCGCGAUACGACACGAAGGUAUUGCGCGACGCGGAGUCGACACGCUGAGCGAUCUCGACACGUCGGAUGGUGCUCCACGACUGUCUGUACCCUUCCCCAGCUGCGGCUGGUGUGUGUGCGAGGGGAAAACUGUCGUGUGACGAACACCAUUGACGAUGUCAUUAGGAUCGUUCGAUGUGGGGUCAGACUAGUGUCAGUGCUCGUAUACGCACGUGUCUACGUAUCGGAUGAGGGCGUGUUGGACGGAUGCCGCUCGUUCUUCGAGCGCCGUCUUGAAUGGUGAAAUCACCGCCACUUGAGAGAUUCGUCUCGACGAAUCAAAGUCGAUGCUUCGUUUCCGAUGCGAGACGUACGCGAUCGUCGUGUCCGAGAUUUGAGAGAAUUAAACGACACAGACGACCGAUCGCAACGUACGCACGCUGUGAAACGUCUGUCAUCAAA
rnacentral:rRNA from 1 species